rnacentral:rRNA from 1 species
AGCACAGAGAGCUUGCUCUCGGGUGACGAGUGGCGGACGGGUGAGUAAUGUCUGGGAAACUGCCUGAUGGAGGGGGAUAACUACUGGAAACGGUAGCUAAUACCGCAUAACGUCGCAAGACCAAAGAGGGGGACCUUCGGGCCUCUUGCCAUCAGAUGUGCCCAGAUGGGAUUAGCUAGUAGGUGGGGUAACGGCUCACCUAGGCGACGAUCCCUAGCUGGUCUGAGAGGAUGACCAGCCACACUGGAACUGAGACACGGUCCAGACUCCUACGGGAGGCAGCAGUGGGGAAUAUUGCACAAUGGGCGCAAGCCUGAUGCAGCCAUGCCGCGUGUAUGAAGAAGGCCUUCGGGUUGUAAAGUACUUUCAGCGGGGAGGAAGGCGAUAAGGUUAAUAACCUUGUCGAUUGACGUUACCCGCAGAAGAAGCACCGGCUAACUCCGUGCCAGCAGCCGCGGUAAUACGGAGGGUGCAAGCGUUAAUCGGAAUUACUGGGCGUAAAGCGCACGCAGGCGGUCUGUCAAGUCGGAUGUGAAAUCCCCGGGCUCAACCUGGGAACUGCAUUCGAAACUGGCAGGCUGGAGUCUUGUAGAGGGGGGUAGAAUUCCAGGUGUAGCGGUGAAAUGCGUAGAGAUCUGGAGGAAUACCGGUGGCGAAGGCGGCCCCCUGGACAAAGACUGACGCUCAGGUGCGAAAGCGUGGGGAGCAAACAGGAUUA